UCCUCACCCUCCUCAUCGUCCGCCGCCUCGUCCUCAUCGCCGGGCUCCCGGAAGAUGGUGGUGUCAGCAGAGAUGUGCUGCUUUUGCUUCGAUGUGCUCUACUGUCACCUGUAUGGAUACCAGCAGCCCCGGACCCCCCGAUUCACCAACGAGCCCUAAUAAUCCACAUUGUUACCCAAAGCCACAUGCAGUGCCGGGAGAGCACAGUUGACUGUUUUAUGCAGUAUCCUGCCAGAAGAUGCUGACCAGUUCUCUAGUAAUAGAAAGUAGUGAGAUUGAAUUAAGAGCCUAUAUAGUUCACCUUGCCAUUCGAUAUACUUUCACUGUGAUCUGUAAGCAUAUUACAUACAACUUUAGUAACAUAUUUUCUAGUGAGAUCUUGGAUUGCUGCAAGGUGGUAACAGAUUCUCUGCUUUGCUUCAGGUGUUAGUGGAUCUUUGAGUAAUUCCUAUGGAAUGGAGUCUCUGAAAAAUUGGUUUUGAUGCUGUUAGCCUAGGGGUCCCACAGCACUGUAUCUGCCUCAAAUAAAUGCUUAUGUACUAGUUA
rnacentral:lncRNA from 10 species